GUAAAGUCCGGUCCAGUAUGGGGGACUGUCACUCCCUUGACCCGGGUUCGAAUCCCGG
rnacentral:tRNA from 1 species